rnacentral:rRNA from 1 species
UAGUCCUAGCAGUAAACGAUGUGCGCUUGGUGUGGGAGGGUUCGGCCCCUUCUGUGCCGGAGCUAACGCGUUAAGCGCACCGCCUGGGGAGUACGGCCGCAAGGCUAAAACUCAAAGAAAUUGACGGGGACCCGCACAAGCGGUGGAGUAUGUGGCUUAAUUCGAUGCAACGCGAAGAACCUUACCUAGGCUUGACAUGUAUUGCUAAUCUACAGAGAUGUAGAGACCCUUCGGGGACCUUACACAGGUGCUGCAUGGCCGUCGUCAGCUCGUGUCGUGAGAUGUUUGGUUAAGUCCAGCAACGAGCGCAACCCCUGUGGCUAGUUACUACCAUUAAGUUGAGGACUCUAGUCAGACUGCCCAGAUCACCUGGGAGGAAGGUGGGGAUGACGUCAGGUCAGUAUGGCCCUUACGCCUAGGGCUGCACACGUACUACAAUGCCCAGUACAAUGAGAACCGAUCCCGCGAGGAGGAGGAAAUCUACAAAGCUGGGCUCAGUUCGGAUU